GACAGAGGUGCCGAGCGUUAGGCGGAAUCACUGGGCUUAAAGCGUGUGUAGGCGGAUUUGUAAGUACCUUGUGAAAUCCCAUGGCUCAACCGUGGAACUGCUUGGUAUACUGCUUAUCUUGAGCCACUUAGGGGCAGUCGGAACAGACGGUGGAGCGGUGAAAUGCGUAGAUAUCGCUUGGAACGCCGAAGGUGAAAACAGGUCGCUGGGGAUGUGCCGACGCUGAGACACGAAAGCCAGGGGAGCAAACGGG
rnacentral:rRNA from 1 species